GUCCCUUUCUGGGCUGGAGAAGCCAGUGAGCUGGCUGCUAUGGCUGGUUCUACACCUGCAGAAUCAAGAUGACCAAUGGAAAAACUAAAACUUCCAAGGUUCGGAAGUUCGGGGGACAAGUAGGAGGCCAAACGGUUGGUUCAAUAUGCAUUGGGCAAGAAACCCAGUGGAGACCGUGGUGCCAUGAAAGCAAACAAAAGGACGGUCCAGAGAGGUGGUCGAGCAGUUUCAGCCUCCUAUGACGGUGGAAAUUACCAGCAGUCUUUAGUGAUUUGAGUGAACGGACGGUCCAGAGAAGACAACAGGAUCCUGCCUUGGGCUCCCUGGGAGCGGCCAAGCAACUUCAGCCUCCUGUGAAAAUUGAGAGGGAAGACCCUUUCUCAGUACUGCUUUUCAUGUCAUGCUGUGUGAAAAGUCUAAUAAAAUGUUAGAAUGCCUGACUGUUGGUUAACUGCAUCUGCUGCUAAUAUGUACUGAACUAAUCAAGUUUUUAUCUGCGCUUUCCCAGUGUGUAAAAAGAUGCAUCCUUGUGAGUGUUUAAAUAUUUCUUGUUUGCUAAAGUACUGUUGUGCUACCACACAGGAUGAUUCAGAGAACACUACAUGCUCCUGCUUCAGGGGCAAGCAGCUUUAGCCUCCUUUGGAAAUUGCCAAAUGCUCCUGCCAAAUUAGCGAUUUGACUAACGGGUAAGACUUUUUUUUCCCAGUAAUGGUUAUGUAAUGCUUGUCAUGCAGGCUGUGUGACGGGUCUAGAAAAAUGUUUUAAAUGGUAUGAUUGCAUAAUGUACUUGCGGUGCUUCUUGUCUUUGGUUGUAUUUCCUGAACUAUUCGGUUUUAACGAUUUUCCAUUCGCC
ensembl:lncRNA